AGUCCUCACCUCCCACAUGCUUUUCAUCACCCGCUCUCACAUCCCAUCUGGGGCCUCUGCUUCCAUCCUACCAUUUCGCAAGCCUGGCCAACUCAAGCUCCGUGUGCUGCACCUAGAGCAGCCCAUCUCUGUGUCAGGAGCAUUCAAGGAGGAAUGGCUUCAUGAUGGCAAUGAGCGGCAUCGCCUGAAAGACAGCCUUCGAGAGUCUCCCAGAGCCGCUGAGGAGCAAGGCACCAUUAACAUGGAAAGAAGAAGAGGCAUCCAAAGUGUUGGGUCCGCAUCGCCCUUGCCUUGGAGGAAGCUCCAAAUAGAGGGAAGGAUGGUUUCCAGCAGUCCCUGAAGUGCCUUUCCUCCUUCGUGGGAUCCAGUUACACCCAGCAGACUUCAGUUUGAAUAAACAGAACUAGAUGAAUACACCUAGGGAAUCUGUGAGGCCAGCCUCAGCUUUUAACAUCCAGCUACAGGGAGGUGAGAGAAGCUUCAGCCAGUUGUUUUCUAAGAGCGAGAUAAAGAAACCACCCUCCAAUUAUGCAUCAAAUUCUGCUUCACAGUUGAAUAAGGGGCAUGAAAUCG
ensembl:lncRNA SLIT3-AS1 SLIT3 antisense RNA 1